UGAUACGUAGGGUCCGAGCGUUGUCCGGAAUCAUUGGGCGUAAAGAGCGUGUAGGCGGCUUGGUAGGUCACGUGUUAAAGCCUGCGGCUCAACCGCAGAAUCGCACGUGAAACCAUCUGGCUAGAGUCCGGAAGAGGAGAGCGGAAUUCCUGGUGUAGCGGUGAAAUGCGCAGAUAUCAGGAAGAACACCCGUGGCGAAGGCGGCUCUCUGGGACGGUACUGACGCUGAGACGCGAAAGCGUGGGGAGCGAACAGGAUUAGAUACCCUGGUAGUCCACGCCGUAAACGAUGGGCGCUAGGUUCUCAGUGUCGUAGCCAACGCGGUAAGCGCACCGCCUGGGGAGUACGGCCGCAAGGUUG
rnacentral:rRNA from 1 species